rnacentral:rRNA from 1 species
AAAAGGUGGCUAUGCUACCGCUUUUGGAUGGGCCCGCGGCGCACUAGCUAGUUGGUGGGGUAAAGGCUUACCAAGGCAAUGAUGCGUAGCCGAACUGAGAGGUUGAUCGGCCACAUUGGGACUGAGACACGGCCCAAACUCCUACGGGAGGCAGCAGUAGGGAAUCUUCCACAAUGGGCGAAAGCCUGAUGGAGCAACGCCGCGUGGGUGAAGAAGGUCUUCGGAUCGUAAAACCCUGUUGUUAGAGAAGAAAGUGCGUGAGAGUAACUGUUCACGUUUCGACGGUAUCUAACCAGAAAGCCACGGCUAACUACGUGCCAGCAGCCGCGGUAAUACGUAGGUGGCAAGCGUUAUCCGGAUUUAUUGGGCGUAAAGGGAACGCAGGCGGUCUUUUAAGUCUGAUGUGAAAGCCUUCGGCUUAACCGGAGUAGUGCAUUGGAAACUGGGAGACUUGAGUGCAGAAGAGGAGAGUGGAACUCCAUGUGUAGCGGUGAAAUGCGUAGAUAUAUGGAAGAACACCAGUGGCGAAAGCGGCUCUCUGGUCUGUAACUGACGCUGAGGUUCGAAAGCGUGGGUAGCAAACAGGAUUAGAUACCCUGGUAGUCCACGCCGU